rnacentral:misc_RNA from 1 species
UAAGACAAGCCACACCCAGAUGCUACUUUAAUCAGUGCCAUUUUCAAGGAAGAAGGAGACAUGAAAAAGUAAUAGAAUUAGAUAGAGAGAGAAACUAACAACUCUUUAACAUUACCAUUACCAUUAGAGAGAGAAACCAAACCAAUUUGUCUCCUUAAUGUAGGGGAAGAGAGGGGCAAAGCUUCGGCAUUUGGUCUCCCUUCUCUCUCUAUUUGUCGGCUCUUUCUCCGGCCACCAUUUGACUGCUAAACUCGCCGGAACUCACUUGCCCAAAAGCCCAAAUCCACCCAUUAGUUGACUUUUUUUUUUUUGGGCUUUUGGGUCACUUGCUUUACUUUCCCUUUCUCUUCCCUUUUGAGCUGAUCUAGCUAAGUUCAUCGGCUGAAGUAAAUCUUUUACGCUUUUUAAUCUAUACUCUUUUCAGUUCAAAAAGCUAUAUAUGCUAUGAGCAUGUGAAAAAUUACUGGAUCAAACCUCACUUGUAGUUUCGCCGGAAUAAGCAAUGAAAACGCCGGCGAUCAGUGCUGGAGUAUCCGUCGCCGCCACUUCUUGCGUCACCACUUCAAAUCCUGCUGAAGGAGGAGAGAACAAGAGCAUAAACCCAGAGCUAUGGCAAGCAUGUGCAGGGCCGUUGGUGAGCUUGCCGGCGGCUGGGACGCUUGUGGUCUAUUUCCCACAAGGCCACAGCGAACAGGUCGCAGCAUCAAUGAAGAAGGAUGUAGAUGCCCAUAUCCCUAAUUAUCCGAAUCUUCCUUCAAAGCUAUUAUGUCUCCUUCAUAAUGUGACCUUGCAUGCGGACCCGGAAACAGAUGAAGUUUAUGCUCAGAUGACCCUCCAACCUGUUCCUUCUUUUGACAAAGAUGCAUUACUGAGAUCAGAUCUUUCACUGAAGUCAAAUAAAGCACAAACAGAGUUUUUCUGUAAAACAUUAACAGCAAGUGACACAAGUACUCAUGGAGGCUUUUCUGUGCCCCGUCGUGCGGCUGAGAAGAUUUUCCCCCCUCUUGAUUUCUCCAUGCAACCGCCUGCCCAAGAACUUGUAGCUAGGGAUUUGCAUGACAAUGUCUGGACUUUCCGUCAUAUCUAUCGUGGACAACCAAAGCGUCACUUGCUUACAACAGGUUGGAGCCUGUUUGUUAGUGGAAAGAGGCUAUUUGCAGGUGAUUCAGUUCUAUUUAUCAGAGAUGAAAAGCAGCAACUUCUCUUGGGGAUCAGGCGAGCAAAUAAACAACCUGCUAAUUUAUCAUCAUCAGUGUUGUCAAGUGAUAGCAUGCACAUUGGGAUCCUAGCUGCCGCAGCCCAUGCAGCAGCAAAUAAUAGUCCCUUCACAGUGUUUUAUAAUCCAAGGGCUAGUCCAUCAGAAUUUGUUAUUCCUUUGGCCAAAUAUUACAAGGCAGGGUACAGUAACCAAAUAUCACUUGGCAUGCGCUUUCGGAUGAUGUUUGAAACUGAAGAAUCAGGAACAAGAAGGUAUAUGGGUACAAUUACAGGAAUUAGUGAUAUUGAUCCUGUACGGUGGAAGAAUUCACAAUGGCGUAAUUUACAGGUUGGAUGGGAUGAGUCAACUGCUGGGGAAAGACGCAAUAGAGUCUCAAUCUGGGAGAUUGAACCAGUGACUGCUCCAUUUUUCAUAUGCCCACCACCAUUCUUUAGAUCUAAGCGUCCAAGGCAACCUGGAAUGCCAGAUGAUGAUUCCCCUGAUUUAGAUAACUUAUUUAAGAAGUCAAUGCCUUGGCUUGGCGACGAUUUUUACAUGAAAGAUCCCCAGUCUGUACCUGGCCUGAGCUUACUGCAGUGUAUUAACAUGCAGCAAAACCCUUCCCUUGCUAAUGCAAUGCCGCCCAACUACAUGCAAUCUUUGUCAGGAUCUGUUCUGCAGAACCUUACCGGGCCUGAUCUUUCACAUCAGUUGGGCUUGUCAGCACCACAGUUACCUCAGCCAAACAACUUACAGUUUAAUUCCCAACGGCUGCCCCUGCAAUCACAACAAUUUGACCAGCUUCCAAAGAUGCAAUCUUCACUGAAUUCACUAGGUUCCAUCAUACAGUCGCAGCAACAAUUAGGUGAUAUCACUCAACAAUCAAAGCAAAAUUUGGUAACUCAAACUAUAACAUCAAGUCAAGUUCAAGCCCAAAUUCUGCAGCCUCAAACUCUAGUUCAAAAUACUAACAUUCUUCAGCAACAGCCAUCUCUUCAAAGCCAUCAACUUCCGAGAAACCUUCCUCAGACUUUGCAGCAGCAGCAGAAUCAACAGCAGCAUAUUGUAGGUCAGAACCAACAGCAAAGUGUAAUACAAACCCAGUUGCCUGAUCAAGUAAACCAACAUUUACAAAUGUCUGACAAUCAGAUUCAGAUUCAACUGUUGCAGAAGCUUCAACAGCAACAACAAUCACUUCUAACACAACAGUCUGUGUUGCAACAACCUAGUCAAUUUGCACAGCUGCAAGAUCCACAAAGGCAGCUGUUAGAGGCAUCCCAGAGCUUUUCAAGGUCCAUGCGACCCAACCAAUUGUUAGAAAUGCCUCAAACAACACCCAAUUCACUUCCGCAAUCAAAUAUUAUUCAACAGCAGAUGACAAAGAAUGGCAACCAGACUAAUGCUCAGUUCUCCCAUAUGCCACAGCAACUGAAAUUGCAACAACAGCAGCCUGGGAUAUUGUCUGAAAUGCCUGGACAUAUGGGACUUCCCCCUAGCUCAGGUGUCAAUCAUUUCUCUACAGUUGGUAGUAGCAUAUUGACUGCUGCUGCAGGGGCAGGGAUUUCUGGGAUUACCGAGGAGCUUCCAUCUUGUUCAACUUCACCUUCCACAAACAACUGUGCAAAUAUGGUUCAUCGGGUACACCAAAGCACAGCUAUAGGAGAUGACAUGGCUCAGUCUGCUGCUACACUCUUGAGUUCCAAUGCCUUAGAAACAAUGUCAUGUAGUACUAACUUGGUUAAAGAUGUGCAACAGAAAUCUGAUGUUAAGCCUUCAAUGAACAUUGCCAAGAAUCAAAACCAAGGAUUCUUUGCCCCGCAAACAUACCAAAAUGGUGCAACUGCCCAGACAGAUUAUUUGGAUACUUCUUCUUCUACAACUUCAGUUUGUGUUUCUCAGAAUGAUGUUCAUUUGCAGCAGAAUAACAAUUCGUCUUCUUAUAAUCCACAUUCACUGUUGUUGAGGGACAUAAGUCAAGAUGGGGAACUCCAGGCAAAUCCCAGGAAUAAUGUUCCAUAUGGAGCUAACAUUGAUGGCCAACUGGGAGUUCUAAUGAAUUCUGACCAAGUGUUGACAAAAAGCAUCAUAGGUCUGGGGAAGGAUCUCCCAAAUAAUCUUUCUUCAGCGGGUAUGAUUUCUAACUGUGAAAAUUCAAAAGAUCCUCAACAUGAGCUUUCAUCUUCAAUGGUUUCCCGGUCAUUUGGAGUUCCAGAUAUGGCAUUCAAUUCAAUUGAUUCCACAAUCAAUGAUAGUAGCUUCUUGAACAGAGGUCCUUGGGCCCCUCCCCCACAAUUUCAGCGGAUGCGUACAUAUACAAAGGUGUACAAACGCGGAGCUGUGGGGAGGUCUAUUGAUAUAACCCGCUAUUCUGGUUAUGAUGAGCUUAAGCAAGAUCUGGCCCGGAGGUUUGGUAUAGAGGGACAGUUAGAAGACCGACACAGGAUAGGCUGGAAACUUGUUUAUGUGGAUCAUGAGAAUGAUGUUUUGUUAGUAGGGGAUGACCCAUGGGAAGAGUUUGUGAACUGUGUUCGCUGCAUUAAGAUCUUGUCCCCGCAAGAAGUACAGCAAAUGAGCUUGGAUGGAGAUUUUGGGAACUCUGUCCAUCCAAAUCAAGCAUGUAGCAGCUCUGAUAAUGGCAAUGCAUAAAGUAGUCGACCAAAAUGCUAACAAAUUCUUCCACGUUGGGAACCUUAUAUUAUUUGUGGAUUCUGUUCAUAGCUUUCUGUAUGUUGUUUAUUCUGCUUUAUCUGGGUUUUCAAGGUUUUCCUAGCUUGCAAAAGUGGCAGGCAAACCAAGAAUUUUCCAGCAACCUGGUAAAAAUUGAAGUUGUUCUAUGGCACUCAGAGCUCUAUUUCAAUUUGUUCCAGCUCUAAAUUGUAUAACACAGAUCAAAAGCAGAAAGAUCACCAAUCAAUGAUGCAUAACUGGUUCAAGGCUCUUUUAGAGUUUCCCUCGGGCUUGAUGAGGAAUCCAGCUUGGUUUGUGCCUUUAAACUAGUUAAGAUAUUUGAUGCUGUUGUGAUGUUUAUUAAUCAACUUCUUUCAUGUUUUUACUAGCUGAGAAAUCUCCUUUUGGAGGCAUUGUAGAAAGCAAAAACAAGAAAUUAUAUGGCCUAGUUUUGCGUAUAUAAAAUGUGUAGAUUUCUUCAGUUUUGCAGUGGAAAUGGCUCAAACUUGAAUAGGUAUGAGGUGACAUGGAGAACUU